AUGAAGAAUAUGAGCCCAGAGAUGAUGGCAAACAUGAGCGAACAAUUUGGAUUGAAACUUUCUCCUGAAGAUGCUGCAAAAGCUCAGCAAGCCAUGUCGUCUUUAUCGCCAGAUGACUUGGAUAGAAUGAUGCGAUGGGCAGAUAGGAUACAAAGAGGAGCUGAAGGUGCAAGGAAAGCCAAGAACUGGUUACUAGGGAGACCUGGUAUGAUAAUGGCUAUAUGCAUGCUCAUCUUAGCCAUGAUCCUUCACUGGCUAGGCUACAUUGGGAGGUAAGGAGGACCCAACCCUUUUUAAAGUUGUCAGGCAAGUUUAACUUCCAGCUCAGCUAGGAUUGGCUGAACUACUCGUGUAUAAGAAUGGAAGUAGAAAGCCAAGCAAACGAUGUAGGGAAUGAAGAAAAUUGAGAAAUUAUAGGACAGCUGUAAUUUGUACAUUGGGUGACGAAGAUGAUCCCAUAAUUGUUUGAUUUGUUGGACUUGAGAUUUUUGUUUGUGAACUAGAAGGGAACUCAGAAAGGAGAUUCAAAGUUAUUGUACUGAUGUCCACUAGCUUUUGUGUAAUAUUAUGUAUUUAGCUGUUCAGCAUAUUGAGGUUACCCCUAAACACUACUAAGGAACUUCCUUGCAUUUUUAAUUUCUUUAUAAGCUCAG
rnacentral:misc_RNA from 1 species